rnacentral:rRNA from 1 species
GAUGAACGCUGGCGGCGUGCCUAAUACAUGCGAGUCGAGCGAACGGACGAGAAGCUUGCUUCUCUGAUGUUAGCGGCGGACGGGUGAGUAACACGUGGAUAACCUACCUAUAAGACUGGGAUAACUUCGGGAAACCGGAGCUAAUACCGGAUAAUAUUUUGAACCGCAUGGUUCAAAAGUGAAAGACGGUCUUGCUGUCACUUAUAGAUGGAUCCGCGCUGCAUUAGCUAGUUGGUAAGGUAACGGCUUACCAAGGCAACGAUGCAUAGCCGACCUGAAAGGGUGAUCGGCCACACUGGAACUGAGACACGGUCCAGACUCCUACGGGAGGCAGCAGUAGGGAAUCUUCCGCAAUGGGCGAAAGCCUGACGGAGCAACGCCGCGUGAGUGAUGAAGGUCUUCGGAUCGUAAAACUCUGUUAUUAGGGAAGAACAUAUGUGUAAGUAACUGUGCACAUCUUGACGGUACCUAAUCAGAAAGCCACGGCUAACUACGUG